ensembl:snoRNA
CUCCAGUGAUGACUUUUGUUUUGUGCCAUGUGUCUGGGCCACUGAUUAGUAGUGAUGGGUUUGAGGAACUGAGGAA